UAAAAUAAUUAAGGGCACACAAAGGAUGCCUAGGUAGUAAGAGCCGAUGAAGGACGUGGUAAGCUGCGAUAAGCCUAGAUAAGUUGCAAUCGAACGUAAGAGUCUAGGAUUUCCGAAUGGAGCAAUCUAUUAAGAUGGAGUCUUAAUACGAAAGAGGGAACCACGUGAACUGAAACAUCUAAGUAACGUGAGGAAAAGAAAGUAAAAACGAUACCCAAAGUAGCGGCGAGCGAACUGGGUCAAGCCUAAACCUUAAAUAUGUCAAGGAUACAGCCGUUGUAUUUAAGGGGUUGAGGGACAAAGUAGUGAAGAACUGUAAGAUAUUCAAUAUAGUGUAUUGAUGAAUUAGAAUUGUAUGGAAAGAUAAACCGCAGAAGGUGAGAGUCCUGUAUAAGUAAAUCCUUACACAUAUAACUUUGCUCCCAAGUAACAUGGAACACGAGGAAUUCUGUGUGAAUCAGUGAGGACCAUAUCUCAUAAGGCUAAAUACUCUUACUAACCGAUAGCGCAUAGUACCGUGAGGGAAAGGUGAAAAGAACCCCUGGAGGGGAGUGAAAUAGAACCUGAAAUUGUGUGCUUACAAGCGGUCAGAGCCCAUUAGGGUGAUGGCGUGCCUUUUGGAGAAUGAUCCUGCGAGUUACGUUAAACGGCGAGGUUAAGUAUAACGGAGCCGAAGGGAAACCAAGUCUUAAUAGGGCGAUAUAGUCGUUUGGCGUAGACGCGAAACCUGGUGAUCUAAACCUGUCCAGGAUGAAGCUGUGGUAAGACACAGUGGAGGUCCUAACCCACCGCCGUUGAAAAGUUGGGGGAUGAGGUAGGUUUAGGGGUGAAAAGCCAAUCGAACCAGGAGAUAGCUCGUUCUCUCCGAAAUGCAUCUAGGUGCAGCCUUGAGUGUUCAAUUAUGGGGGUAGAGCACUGAAUGAUCUAGGGGGCAUAUUGCUUACUGAAAUCAAUCAAACUCCAAAUACCAUAAUUUAUAGCUCAGGAGUGAGACCAUGGGAGUUAACUUCCAUUGUCAAAAGGGAAACAACCCAGACCACCAGCUAAGGUCCCUAAUUAUAACUAAGUGGGAAAGGAGGUGGAGAUUCACAAACAACUAGGAGGUUGGCUUAGAAGCAGCCAUACCUUUAAAGAGUGCGUAAUAGCUCACUAGUCGAGAGUCUCUGCGCCGACAAUGUAACGGGGCUAAGUUAUAAACCGAAGCUGUGGAAUCCUUAUGGAUUGGUAGGAGAGCGUUCUGUAGGCUGUUGAAGAAGAAGGGUAACCAACUUUGGAGGUAUCAGAAGUGAGAAUGCAGGAAUAAGUAGCGAGAAAGGGGGCGAGAAUCCCCCUCGCCGGAAGACCAAGGUUUUCAGGGUAAAGCUUGUCUUCCCUGAGUAAGCCGGGACCUAAGCCCAGGCUAUAAUGCGUAGGCGAAUGGAAAACAGAUUAAUAUUUCUGUGCCAGUCAUUUAUUGUGAUGGAGGGACGCAGAAGGGUAUGUGCGCGGACGAUCGGUUGUGUCCGUAGAAGUAUGUAGGGUGACUUAGUAGGUAAAUCCAUUAAGUUAUAUCUGAGGUAUGAUAUACAGUCGUAAGAUGAAUGUACAAAUCCCACGCUGCCAAGAAAAACUUCUAACGUUAAUAUAUGACUGCCCGUACUGUAAACCGACACAGGUGGUCAGGAUGAGAAAUCUAAGGCGGACAGGCUAACUCUCGUUAAGGAACUCUGCAAAAUAACCUCGUAACUUCGGGAGAAGAGGAGCCCUUGUGUGUGAGUAUACACGCGAUACAAAGCGCACGAGGGUCGCAGUGAAGAGGCUCAAGCAACUGUUUAACAAAAACACAGGUCUAUGCUAAGCUGUAAGGCGAUGUAUAUGGGCUGACACCUGCCCAGUGCUGGAAGGUUAAGAGGAGGAGUGAGAGCUCCGAAUUGAAGCCCCAGUGAACGGCGGCCGUAACUAUAACGGUCCUAAGGUAGCGAAAUUCCUUGUCGGGU
rnacentral:rRNA from 1 species